UCUAAUCCAUUUUUAGUUGAUUUUUGUAUAUGUUGAGAGAUAGGGGGUCCAGUUUCACUCUUCUGAAUAUGGCUAUUCCAUUUUCUCAGCACCAUUAAUUUAAGAGGAUGUCCUUUCCCAGUGCAAGUUCUUGUCAGCUUUGUCAAAGAUCAGUUGGCUAUAAAUCUGUUGCUUUAUUUCUAUGUUCUCUAUUCUAUUCCAUUGAUCAAUGUGGCUGCCCACUAGAUUUUAGUGUGUUCUAAAUUAAACCCCUUUCUCCUCCCAUAAAACUGAUACCUCCUUGAUGAUAAAUCAAGAUGAUUGUUUACAUUGGAAAGCCCUCAGUGCUAAUCCAGGGACAUGGCAAGGGUGUGGAACCCAGUGUGAUUUAUCCCAACUACCUUCCUGCUGUUCCCAGGUAUUUCUUUGAGAUACUGCUCUCAACAGUGACUGGUGUCAACUCAUGUAUAUGUAUAUACCACCUACUGGUGUAACAGUCACAUAUGCAGUUGUGGGAUGCUACAUAAAUGGUGACCGAGCUAGUGAGAGAUUGUGUCAGUUAGGGUAGGCUAAAUUAUAUUGCUGUAACAAAUGCCAUCAAAAUCUCAGUGGCUUAAUACAACAAAAGUAAAUUUCCUCCUCAUGCAAAAUUUCCAGUGCUGCUAUCACAGUGACUCAUUGUUCUAGCCUGCUUCAUUCCUGUGAAUUUCCCUGAGCACCAUGGCAGAGGAAGGAUGCAGGGGACUAUGCACCAAACCUCAAGUGCUUUCACCCAGAAGUGAUAUAGGUCACCUCUCACAUUUCUCUGGUCAAGGAAAGUUACAUGGUCAUUACCUAACUUUAAGGGCUAUGUUUAUGUUUCUAGGAAUCACCAAGAUUCCUAGAAAGUAGGAAUCUUGGUGACUGUGAGUAAUGGCUGCCACAGGGAUCCAUUUCACCUAGGAGGGUUGGGGAUAAAGUUAGACUGAAAUAGUCUAGCUAUAACAGUGGAUAAGCCAUAGGUUACCAGUUCAAGGAAGGUACUCAGUUACUUGUAAAGUCUUUGGGAAACAUUAAUGUUGUUGUUAUCAUUAUAAAAUAUCAUGUAGAAAAACACUUAAAGGUGACAAAUUCUCUCUCUCUGCCUGUCAGGGUUAUCUUAUGAUUUAGCCAAGGUUAGUCUACUCCAGGUAAGAGUGGAGUUUUAUCAUCCAAACUCUUCUGUGACACAGCGUUCGGCAAAGAUCAUCUAUCUUGAUGAUACCCUAGGGCACACACCAACCAUUAGGGCAGAGAUUACGUCAACUAAACUUCCUUCCUGCAUCUCCCUGCGCUUCAUGUGCUUAAAAGAGAUAAAGGACUGAUGGAUGCUGUAAACUCUAAAGUGCUAUGCAGACAUAAGGAAGAUGACUUCAGUCACAGGAUGAAACAAAUGAUGAGAGACUGGAGUCCAGAAGAUCAGCCAGAGGGCAAGUAUCAUGAUCCAGAUGAAAACUGAUAAGGACCUGGCCUAAAACAGUGAUAAUGAUGAUAGAGAGGAGAGAUCACCAAACAUGUGAUCUUCAGUAGGAGUGUGUGUGUAUUUGUGUGUGUGUGUGUGUGUGUGUGAGAGAGAGAGAGAGAGAGGUUAUUCCCAGGUUUGUAGCUAGCCAGUCUAAGUAGAUAGAACUGUUACUAGAGACAGUGAAAUGGGAUAUCAAGCAUGAUACUGAGUUCACUUUAGGACAUGUCAAGUCAGAGGUCCUUAAGGGAUUCUGGAAAGAUGUCUAAUGGGUGGUUUAAAUAAAAAUCUUAAGCUCAGGAGAGCUUAAAGAUACGGAUUUUGCAGUAGCCUUAAUUUCUCAAUCUGUAGCCCUUUCUACAACAGCUGACCUUAAAACAUAGCCCUUCCUUUAAAGACAAAUUAAUGUAACAGCUUAACAUUUAUAAUUAUUUAUAAUGAAAAUGAUUAAGAAUCAACUACUGCAUUGUAUAAUGGUAAUGGCAAUACCUCAUUACCAAGCAGACAAUGUUAGAAUUUUAAGUGGACAUUUAGGCUAGUUUUACACUCUAAUGACCUCUUUAAAAGUAUAUCAUUCUUUUCUGGUUUUCCAUGUUUACUAUUUUGUUAUUCCUCAAGGGUUCUCUAGACUGCAGUAUAUUGUAAGAUAGUCUGUCUUGCAUCACCUAAAACCUUGUGCAAAUGGGUCAUUUCUUUUCUUUCAUUGUGCUACAGAAAUAAUGAUUUUUCUGAUCCUGCCUUUCCUUCUUUUUUCUUGAGACAGAGU